CCUACGGGUGGCUGCAGUGGGGAAUAUUGCACAAUGGGCGCAAGCCUGAUGCAGCCAUGCCGCGUGUGUGAAGAAGGCCUUCGGGUUGUAAAGCACUUUCAGCGGGGAGGAAGGCGUUAAGGUUAAUAACCUUGGCGAUUGACGUUACCCGCAGAAGAAGCACCGGCUAACUCCGUGCCAGCAGCCGCGGUAAUACGGAGGGUGCAAGCGUUAAUCGGAAUUACUGGGCGUAAAGCGCACGCAGGCGGUCUGUCAAGUCGGAUGUGAAAUCCCCGGGCUCAACCUGGGAACUGCAUUCGAAACUGGCAGGCUAGAGUCUUGUAGAGGGGGGUAGAAUUCCAGGUGUAGCGGUGAAAUGCGUAGAGGUCUGGAGGAAUGCCGGUGGCGAAGGCGGCCCCCUGGACAAAGACUGACGCUCAGGCGCGAAAGCGUGGCGAGCAAACAGGAUUAGAUACCCGAGUAGUC
rnacentral:rRNA from 1 species